rnacentral:rRNA from 1 species
UGGGGAAUUUUGGACAAUGGGCGCAAGCCUGAUCCAGCAAUGCCGCGUGCAGGAUGAAGGCCUUCGGGUUGUAAACUGCUUUUGUACGGAACGAAAAAGCUCUGGUUAAUACCUGGGGCCCAUGACGGUACCGUAAGAAUAAGCACCGGCUAACUACGUGCCAGCAGCCGCGGUAAUACGUAGGGUGCAAGCGUUAAUCGGAAUUACUGGGCGUAAAGCGUGCGCAGGCGGUUAUGUAAGACAGAGGUGAAAUCCCCGGGCUCAACCUGGGAACUGCCUUUGUGACUGCAUAGCUGGAGUGCGGCAGAGGGGGAUGGAAUUCCGCGUGUAGCAGUGAAAUGCGUAGAUAUGCGGAGGAACACCGAUGGCGAAGGCAAUCCCCCUGGGCCUGCACUGACGCUCAUGCACGAAAGCGUGGGGAGCAAACAGGAUUAGAUACCCCUGGUAGUCCACGCCCUAAACGAUGUCAACUGGUUGUUGGGAAUUCACUUUCUCAGUAACGAAGCUAACGCGUGAAGUUGACCGCCUGGGGAGUACGGCCGCAAGGUUA